CGGAGCAUAGCGCAGCUGGGUAGCGUAUCAUCUUGGGGUGAUGGAGGUCGUGGGUUCGAAUCCCGCUGUUCCGA
rnacentral:tRNA from 1 species